rnacentral:ncRNA from 1 species
GCGACAGACUCUGGAGAGAGGCCGCCCCAUGCGGUCCGCCGACGGGAUAACGAUCUCAGGCAGAAGGACAGAGGGGCAUGG